GGCCCACACGGAAACGAAACGGAAUUCAAUACGACGCGGCGAAGGCAGGUGCUUGUCGGACAAGCGUUAUAACGCGGGCGCGUGCGAACGAGCGUCCCUGUCUCCGCUGUGACAAGACGGCGCGUGGAGGCGAGUUGGAUAGCGUCACGUACGCAGAAUGUGAGACAGAGGCGGAAGAACGAAGGGAAGGGGAGUGCGUGCGGAGACAAAGAGCGUUAGUAACUCAAUUCUCCAACGCUAUACGGAAGCGCCACCGGAGCCCGGAAGCGGACGCGAUACGCCCGAAGAGCCCAGCUGUUCCAGCGUGUGCUGCCGCAGCCGACCAGCGUCGAACUUGACGUUUGUGAGCCUCCAUUGAGCUUGCGAUGGAUGGACACGUGGCACAGGCAGUGUCAAAUGGGCUGGACAAACAAAGAGCGAGGGACACCAAGCCUCCGUCUUCAGAGUCAUCGUCACCACCUAUCUCAGAAUCAAGUAG